rnacentral:rRNA from 1 species
CCCUUAGAUGUCCGGGGCUGCACGCGCGCUACACUGAAGGAAUCAGCGUGCUAAAACCAUUGUCGAAAAGCAUUGGUAAACCCAUUAAAAUCCUACGUGAUUGGGAUCGGGAAUUGCAAUUAUUUCCCUUGAACGAGGAAUUCCCAGUAAGUGUGGGUCAUAAGCUCGCGUUGAUUACGUCCCUGCCCUUUGUACACACCGCCCGUCGCUGCCCGGGACUGAGCCGUUUCGAGAAAAGCGGGGACUGCUGCUGUCGGGGCUUUCGGGCCUUGGCUUCGGUGGAAACCGCUUUAAUCGCAGUGGCUUGAACCGGGCAAAAGUCGUAACA